rnacentral:misc_RNA from 1 species
UAAUCGGCAUGGACGAUUUCACGAAAAGCGGGCAUAUUAGAAGUCAUGGAAACUGGUUCGAUACAAGGCGCGAUUGUCGGUGCGUUUUUUGCGCUCGUUGGCCUUCUAAUGAUCGUGUUUCACAAGCAAGUCAGAGAAUUUGAUGAGAGCAUUUUUCAGGGGCUUCCGGGGCUCCUAACGCGGUUUCACCCGCGCGGCCAAAUGCUCACCAUCUUCAUCGUCGUAUUCGGCGCGUUGUCCUUUCUCGGCGGGCUCACAGUACUGCUGGUUAACUUUGUCGAGCCUUGAACAUCAGCUCUGAUCGAUACCGCAUUGACACCCGCCGGAGCCUUGUAGUAGCGUCGAAAUCGCGAUUUAUGCAACCAACUUACUGCCCGCCCAUCCCCCACACCG